rnacentral:rRNA from 1 species
GAUGAACGCUGGCGGCGUGCCUAAUACAUGCAAGUAGAACGCUGAAGGAAGGAUCUUGCUCUUUCCGGGUGAGUUGCGAACGGGUGAGUAACGCGUAGGUAACCUGCCUGGUAGCGGGGGAUAACUAUUGGAAACGAUAGCUAAUACCGCAUAACAGUAGAUGUUGCAUGAUAUCUACUUAAAAGGUGCAAUUGCACCACUACCAGAUGGACCUGCGUUUUAUUAGCUAGUUGGUGAGGUAACGGCUCACCAAUGCGACGAUACAUAGCCGACCUGAGAGGGGGAUCGGCAACACUGGGAAUGAGACACGGCCCAGACUCCUACGGGAGGCAGCAGGAGGGAAACUUCGGAAAUGGACGGAAGGCUGAACGAGCAAAGCCGCGUGAGUGAAGAAGGUUUUCGGAUCGUAAAGCUCUGUUGUAAGAGAAGAAAGAGGGUGAGAGUGGAAAGUUCACACUGUGACGGUAUCUUACCAGAAAGGGACGGCUAACUACGUG